rnacentral:sRNA from 1 species
UCCAGGUGUGGUGGCGCACGCCUGUCAUCCCAGCCGCUUGGGAGGCUGAGGCAGGAGGAUCUCGAGUUCAAAGCCAGCCUCAGCAACUUAGCAAGGAACUAAGCAACUCAGUGAGACUCUGUCUCUA